UCGCAUCGUUCACUUCAAAGAUCCUGCUCUAAGAGCCGUUUUGUUCGCGACCGACACAUCACAACUCGCCAGUCCAUAAGUCUCCUCCCAGUGUGACCAGCGUUCGGUGUGGAAGCCUGUAGCCUGCCUGUCCUCCUGCCUGAUUGCCUCCCUCCCCACGAUUCCCUUCACGGACUCCUCUCCCCUCCAAGCUCCACGGUCCUGCUCUACCUUUUCCCCACGGUCCCGACUACGGCGCUCCUGGGCUCCACGCUCCUCGUUCCCCCCCCACGGCAUGAGCCUUAGUUUUUUGUUCCCUUAGCUUGGUUAAAAGAUUCCUCAGUUAAAUAAUAAACUUGUACGUAGUUCUGA